rnacentral:rRNA from 1 species
AUUGAACGCUGGCGGCAGGCUUAACACAUGCAAGUCGAGCGAGCGGCGGACGGGUGAGUAAUGUCUGGGAAACUGCCUGAUGGCGGGGGAUAACUUCUGGAAACGGUAGCUAAUACCGCAUACCAUCAGAUGUGCCCAGAUGGGAUUAGCUAGUAGGUGGGGUAACGGCUCACCUAGGCGACGAUCCCUAGCUGGUCUGAGAGGAUGACCAGCCACACUGGAACUGUGACACGGUCCAGACGCCGACGGUGUGCAGUGUUUGUGAAGAGUACACAAUUGGCUCAAGCCUGAGGCAGCCAUACCGCGUGUGUGAAGUAGGCUUUCGGGUUGUAAAGCAGUUUCAGUGAAUAAGCGUUGCUCGCUUAGGAAGCACCGGCUAACGCCGUGCCAGCAGCCGCGGUAAUAC